ensembl:processed_transcript Dleu2 deleted in lymphocytic leukemia, 2
GCCAUUUUCGAGUGAUGCCUGAUCUCAUCAAUCUAGCGGGAGGGAAGGGAUAACCUGUCCGAGCCUAGCGCGACGCUAGGAUCACGCCGGAAAAUCCCCCAAAAAUCAUCAAAAAAAUUAACUUAGAGCAGAGGGCAGUCGGUGGGGCUUCGCCAGAUGCGGCGCAGUCGAUUUUAACCAUUAGAAGAAUACCAGUUCUGGAAAACAACCAAAGUUUCUUUGAUUGAAUGCCCAUGUAAUGCAUUGGAAUAUGAUAGGCGAUUAAGGUUUAACAAUGUUAAAAUGAAGAUAUUACUAAAAUGGCCCUCUAAAUAGCCCAACAAUUAUUAUUUUCUUUGUCCUAUGGAUUUGGCUUUGAAAGAUGUGCUGCUCUUAAUAAGCAUUAAUUCUCUCUCUCGGGCAGAAACCUACGUGUUCCUCUUCCAGAGAGCUGGUGAAGCCAAAGGCAUUCUCAUAAUGAUGC